GUGCAGGCUGCGGAUCCCCGUAGGCGAGCGAGCGGCUAGGUUCGUGAUCUGGAGAGACGCUCAGAUUAUUAAGUUCCUGCAACUUAACUGGGAACUGAUCAAGAUUUCAAGCUAAAGAUGGUGGUGAUGAACAGCCUGAGGGUCAUUCUUCAAGCCUCUCCAGGCAAAUUGCUGUGGAGAAAGUUCCAGAUUCCGAGAUUCAUGCCAGCGAGGCCCUGCAGCCUCUAUACUUGUACUUACAAAACCCGGAACCGAGCCUGUGAGUACGCCACUUCCUUAAAGAGAACAAAAAGGGCUCCAGCCUGAGUGACAGAGUGAAAUCUCAUCUCUUAGAAAAAAAGAGAAAAGAAAAGAGGGAGCAAGUGUGCAAGAGCAAAAAUACUCAUCUUUAUAAUAAUCACACAUGUUAAACAUUUGUAGCUAUGCUGUCUUUGGCUUUCCAGCGUAGGAUUAUAUGCCUUAUGAACUGUGAAAAUAACUGUUUCUCUGUUGAUUCAUGAAAGUAAAUGUAGAAUGUUCUUUCUUGACUAAUUUUAGCAUGUUAAAAUGAUGUCAUGCAGAAACUGGACAAGAGACAG
rnacentral:sRNA from 1 species